UGGAGUACAAUUCUCUCACCACCCCCCCGUCGGGUGAAAAGAUUUCUCUUCUUAAAAAAACACCUAUUUUGGGGGGAGGACGCCCCUCUUAAUACACCGCGCUCUCUUUGGUGUCUCACACCAAAAGACCCGCGGUUUUAUAUGUCCCCCCCACCCGGUUAUAUAUAAGGGGGCCCAGCGUUUAUUUGGGAAUAUUUGGGAGUAAAAACCACGUAACCGUAUAGUUUAAUCCUGGCUCAGGACGAACGCUGGCGGCGUGCCUAAUACAUGCAAGUCGAGCGGACAGAUGGGAGCUUGCUCCCUGAUGUUAGCGGCGGACGCGUGAGUAACACGUGGGUAACCUGCCUGUAAGACUGGGAUAACUCCGCGAAACCGGGGCUAAUACCGGAUGCUUGUCUGAACCGCAUGGUUCAAACAUAAAAGGUGGCUUCGGCUACCACUUACAGAUGGACCCGCGGCGCAUUAGCUAGUUGGUGAGGUAAUGGCUCACCAAGGCGACGAUGCGUAGCCGACCUGAGAGGGUGAUCGGCCACACUGGGAAUGAGACACGGCCCAGACUCCUACGGGAGGCAGCAGUAGGGAAUCUUCCGCAAUGGACGAAAGUCUGACGGAGCAACGCCGCGUGAGUGAUGAAGGUUUUCGGAUCGUAAAGCUCUGUUGUUAGGGAAGAACAAGUACCGUUCGAAUAGGGCGGUACCUUGACGGUACCUAACCAGAAAGCCACGGCUAACUACGUGCCAGCAGCCGCGGUAAUACGUAGGUGGCAAGCGUUGUCCGGAAUUAUUGGGCGUAAAGGGCUCGCAGGCGGUUUCUUAAGUCUGAUGUGAAAGCCCCCGGCUCAACCGGGGAGGGUCAUUGGAAACUGGGGAACUUGAGUGCAGAAGAGGAGAGUGGAAUUCCACGUGUAGCGGUGAAAUGCGUAGAGAUGUGGAGGAACACCAGUGGCGAAGGCGACUCUCUGGUCUGUAACUGACGCUGAGGAGCGAAAGCGUGGGGAGCGAACAGGAUUAGAUACCCUGGUAGUCCACGCCGUAAACGAUGAGUGCUAAGUGUUAGGGGGUUUCCGCCCCUUAGUGCUGCAGCUAACGCAUUAAGCAUUCCGCCUGGAGACCCCCC
rnacentral:rRNA from 1 species